AACGAACGCUGGCGGCAGGCCUAAUACAUGCAAGUCGAGCGCGCCCUUCGGGGUGAGCGGCGGACGGGUGAGUAACGCGUGGGAAUAUGCCCUUCUCUAAGGAAUAGCCUCUGGAAACGGAGAGUAAUACCUUAUACGCCCUUUGGGGGAAAGAUUUAUCGGAGAAGGAUUAGCCCGCGUUAGAUUAGGUAGUUGGUGGGGUAAUGGCCUACCAAGCCUACGAUCUAUAGCUGGUUUGAGAGGAUGAUCAGCCACACUGGGACUGAGACACGGCCCAGACUCCUACGGGAGGCAGCAGUAGGGAAUCUUAGACAAUGGGGGCAACCCUGAUCUAGCCAUGCCGCGUGUGUGAUGAAGGCCCUAGGGUCGUAAAGCACUUUCGCCAGAGAUGAUAAUGACAGUAUCCGGUAAAGAAACCCCGGCUAACUCCGUGCCAGCAGCCGCGGUAAUACGGAGGGGGUUAGCGUUGUUCGGAAUUACUGGGCGUAAAGCGCACGUAGGCGGAUUAGUAAGUUAGAGGUGAAAUCCCAGGGCUCAACCCUGGAACUGCCUUUAAUACUGCUAGUCUUGAGUUCGAGAGAGGUAAGUGGAAUUCCGAGUGUAGAGGUAAAAUUCGUA
rnacentral:rRNA from 1 species